rnacentral:rRNA from 1 species
GGUUAAGCGACUAAGCGUACACGGUGGAUGCCCUGGCAGUCAGAGGCGAUGAAGGACGUGCUAAUCUGCGAAAAGCGUCGGUAAGGUGAUAUGAACCGUUAUAGCCGGCGAUGUCCGAAUGGGGAAACCCAGUGCAAUUCGUUGCACUAUCGUUAACUGAAUACAUAGGUUAACGAGGCGAACCGGGGGAACUGAAACAUCUAAGUACCCCGAGGAAAAGAAAUCAACCGAGAUUCCCCCAGUAGCGGCGAGCGAACGGGGAGCAGCCCAGAGUCUGAAUCAGCUUGUGUGUUAGUGGAACGGUCUGGAAAGUCCGACGGUACAGGGUGAUAGUCCCGUACACCAAAAUGCACAGGCUGUGAACUCGAAGAGUAGGGCGGGACACGUGGUAUCCUGUCUGAAUAUGGGGGGACCAUCCUCCAAGGCUAAAUACUCCUGACUGACCGAUAGUGAACCAGUACCGUGAGGGAAAGGCGAAAAGAACCCCGGCGAGGGGAGUGAAAAAGAACCUGAAACCGUGUACGUACAAGCAGUGGGAGCACCUUCGGGUGUGACUGCGUACCUUUUGUAUAAUGGGUCAGCGACUUAUAUUCUGUAGCAAGGUUAACCGUAUAGGGGAGCCGCAGGGAAACCGAGUCUUAACUGGGCGUUAAGUUGCAGGGUAUAGACCCGAAACCCGGUGAUCUAGCCAUGGGCAGGUUGAAGGUUGGGUAACACUAACUGGAGGACCGAACCGACUAAUGUUGAAAAAUUAGCGGAUGACUUGUGGCUGGGGGUGAAAGGCCAAUCAAACCGGGAGAUAGCUGGUUCUCCCCGAAAGCUAUUUAGGUAGCGCCUCGUGAACUCAUCUUCGGGGGUAGAGCACUGUUUCGGCUAGGGGGUCAUCCCGACUUACCAACCCGAUGCAAACUACGAAUACCGAAGAAUGUUAUCACGGGAGACACACGGCGGGUGCUAACGUCCGUCGUGAAGAGGGAAACAACCCAGACCGCCAGCUAAGGUCCCAAAGUCAUGGUUAAGUGGGAAACGAUGUGGGAAGGCACAGACAGCCAGGAUGUUGGCUUAGAAGCAGCCAUCAUUUAAAGAAAGCGUAAUAGCUCACUGGUCGAGUCGGCCUGCGCGGAAGAUGUAACGGGGCUAAACCAUGCACCGAAGCUGCGGCAGCGACACUAUGUGUUGUUGGGUAGGGGAGCGUUCUGUAAGCCUGCGAAGGUGACCUGUGAGGGUUGCUGGAGGUAUCAGAAGUGCGAAUGCUGACAUAAGUAACGAUAAAGCGGGUGAAAAGCCCGCUCGCCGGAAGACCAAGGGUUCCUGUCCAACGUUAAUCGGGGCAGGGUGAGUCGACCCCUAAGGCGAGGCCGAAAGGCGUAGUCGAUGGGAAACAGGUUAAUAUUCCUGUACUUGGUGUUACUGCGAAGGGGGGACGGAGAAGGCUAUGUUAGCCGGGCGACGGUUGUCCCGGUUUAAGCAUGUAGGCUGAUUGUCCAGGCAAAUCCGGAUAAUCAAGGCUGAGGUGUGAUGACGAGGCACUACGGUGCUGAAGUAACAAAUGCCCUGCUUCCAGGAAAAGCCUCUAAGCAUCAGGUAACAUCAAAUCGUACCCCAAACCGACACAGGUGGUCAGGUAGAGAAUACCAAGGCGCUUGAGAGAACUCGGGUGAAGGAACUAGGCAAAAUGGUGCCGUAACUUCGGGAGAAGGCACGCUGGUGUGUAGGUGAAGUCCCUGCGGAUGGAGCUGAGACCAGUCGAAGAUACCAGCUGGCUGCAACUGUUUAUUAAAAACACAGCACUGUGCAAACACGAAAGUGGACGUAUACGGUGUGACGCCUGCCCGGUGCCGGAAGGUUAAUUGAUGGGGUUAUCCGUAAGGAGAAGCUCUUGAUCGAAGCCCCGGUAAACGGCGGCCGUAACUAUAACGGUCCUAAGGUAGCGAAAUUCCUUGUCGGGUAAGUUCCGACCUGCACGAAUGGCGUAAUGAUGGCCAGGCUGUCUCCACCCGAGACUCAGUGAAAUUGAACUCGCUGUGAAGAUGCAGUGUACCCGCGGCAAGACGGAAAGACCCCGUGAACCUUUACUAUAGCUUGACACUGAACAUUGAGCCUUGAUGUGUAGGAUAGGUGGGAGGCUUUGAAGCGUGGACGCCAGUCUGCGUGGAGCCAACCUUGAAAUACCACCCUUUAAUGUUUGAUGUUCUAACGUUGGCCCCUUACCGGGGUUGCGGACAGUGUCUGGUGGGUAGUUUGACUGGGGCGGUCUCCUCCCAAAGCGUAACGGAGGAGCACGAAGGUUAGCUAAUCCUGGUCGGACAUCAGGAGGUUAGUGCAAUGGCAUAAGCUAGCUUGACUGCGAGCGUGACGGCGCGAGCAGGUGCGAAAGCAGGUCAUAGUGAUCCGGUGGUUCUGAAUGGAAGGGCCAUCGCUCAACGGAUAAAAGGUACUCCGGGGAUAACAGGCUGAUACCGCCCAAGAGUUCAUAUCGACGGCGGUGUUUGGCACCUCGAUGUCGGCUCAUCACAUCCUGGGGCUGAAGUAGGUCCCAAGGGUAUGGCUGUUCGCCAUUUAAAGUGGUACGCGAGCUGGGUUUAGAACGUCGUGAGACAGUUCGGUCCCUAUCUGCCGUGGGCGCUGGAGAAUUGAGGGGGGCUGCUCCUAGUACGAGAGGACCGGAGUGGACGCAUCACUGGUGUUCGGGUUGUCAUGCCAAUGGCACUGCCCGGUAGCUAAAUGCGGAAGAGAUAAGUGCUGAAAGCAUCUAAGCACGAAACUUGCCCCGAGAUGAGUUCUCCCUGAGACUUUAAGUCUCCUGAAGGAACGUUAAAGACGAUGACGUUGAUAGGCCGGGUGUGUAAGCGCAGCGAUGCGUUGAGCUAACCGGUACUAAUGAACCGUGAGGCUUAACCUU